rnacentral:antisense_RNA from 1 species
AAUCGUGAUUUCCUCGCGGAAGCUUCCCAGGCCCCUCAGCCCACGGAGGCCUUCCCAGCACCUCGCACCGCACCACAAAACCAGGCAACGGAUGGGCCGAGGACUGCUUUGGGUCUCACACUGACUUCCAGGGAAGGGCUGUGCCUCUAGCAACUGGCGAGCCAGAGGACACUCGGGGCGAGCCGUUCAGGACUCUCUGUCCGUCUGCAGCCCCCACCUUCCCGGUACCUCCGCUGGAACCCAAGAGGCGUCCAGAGGGGAGCCCAGGCGCACGGUCCCCAGGGAGGGGCCCCGCCCUCAGGCCCAGGCUUCCACAGGGUCAAGCGGUCUCAAGCCGGCGGCUCUCCCUGGUGGAUUCCCGCAGCUGCUUCCAUCCCGGGCCCUGCUGGAGCCGCCUUUGCUGAAAAGCUGUAGGGCACAGCCGCUGGGGUGAUAGUGGGAGAUGGAAAGUUUGGCUGAGAGGCCUGAUUCCUUCCACACAUCACAACCUGAAAAUCACCAAAAGUUUUCCUUGUUGAGGAGGAGUGAAUGGCAGCACUGGAAGCCGAGGCCCCUCCUCACCAAGAAGCCAGCAGCUCAUCCCCACCUUUCCGACCAAAGCCAUGAAGCAGAGGCCAAGCCUAGCCAAGGUCGGGGCCUGGGGUCACGGUCAAGGUCAGGGCCUGGGGCCACAGUGGAUUUCUUCUUGUGGGGACGUCCUUGACGUCCGCAGCUCGGGCCUGAGGGUCUGCCGCCGGCCCCAGCAGCUGCCGCAGGUGUCCUGGCUCACAGGGUGUCUCUGGCUCAGGGCCGGGGCUGUCUGCAACUCCCCUCUCCCCUGAGCCCUCUGAGUGGGGCUCCUCAAGCUCUGAGGGGCUCCGCCACACAUGGGCUUCCUGGGAGCUGGGUCCUGCCCUGCGACGCCUGCCAGGCUCUUUGUAGACAGUUACUGAUCUCCCAUUGGCUCCGGUUUUGUGGCUCUAAGUGCUUCUGCCCCUCCCUCCACACUCCCUGCCUCUCUGCUGAGUAGUUAAUUCACUAUAAACACGCUCCAGAGGAAGUCUCCAGCCUGGCAGUGAAACUGCAGCGAUGAAUGAGAGUGAUCAGGCACCCAGGUCUGCCUCCAAGUCUCGCUGAUGGCCCAGAGACCGUGCGGCGGGAAGGUUGGCAGCGAGCUGAGGGUUUGAACUCUGGCUGCGCCCCUGCUGCCAGGGGACCUCAGGCAAGUCAUCUUUUUCUCUGGGCCUUGGUUUCCUCAGCUGUGGGGACGGUGCCGGCCCCGAGUCACUGGGCCGUUGUGAGGAUGGAAAGGGGGUCGUGCGGGCUCCUGGGUCCUCGCUGGAGCCACCCAGCAGUUCUUCUGCACUCUCAGGGGAGCCCUUGUGCCGACAUCUGAGGGUCAUGGUUCAGUGGCCUCAGGGUCCAGACAGGCCCGGAGGCCAGACCCGAUGUGGUGCAGCCAGGGGAGGGGAUAAGCCCCGGGGGCCGGGGGCCAUCGGUUCACACCCACAUCAGGGGCCGGGAAUCCCACUAGGGGCUUAGCCCUAGGCUCCCCCCAGCACCCCGCUCCCAAUCCAGAGGACACUCCCAGCCCUGAGCAGCGAGCUCUGGGCAGGCAUCGGGAGAGGGAGUGCAUCUCAGCUCUUUGUGAGGAAUUACGUCCCGACAGGUCACUGGCACAGAAAAGUCCUUUGUCCCAGCCAGCUGGCCGCCUCCUAAUGAUGUCCAGCCUGCGCCUUCCAAGGCCACCUCUGCAUCCAGAAAGGACGCAGGUGGCUCCAGCCUGGGAGGAACAAGGGCCACAGCUUCCCUGGGGUCAGGGGUGGAGAGGGUGGGUGAAGGCUCCGAACGCUUCUGCACGUUGCCCCAGAGCUGCGGACGGAGCUCGGGUGGCCGUCAAGACCUGCUGUAGAUCCAGUGACCCCUCCAAGGAGAGUGCUGAGUCCUGGGAAAUUCUCUUCUUCCUCCUUCACCUCCAAGUCACUUUGCCCUCUCCUGUGUUCCCCAGCCAGGCCCCCGGUAGAGGAGACCCCUGCAGUUGUGGAUGUGGCUUUCCCCAGUGCCCACGAGACCCUGGGGCCUGGCCCCUCUGGGCCCAUAGAAGCUCCCAUGAGAUUCUGAUGCACGGCGAGGGCCUGAGCCCCAGGCUGGCUGUGGGGGGCAGCCUGGGCUCCCAUGUAGGUUUCAUCACAUCACACUGUGGCCCUCACACCCUGCCCUCUGGCUGCCCCUUCUCCCUAGGGCAUGUACCCAGAGCCCACCUCAGCCUCCCCGGGCAUAUCAGGGCCCCACUUUCUGGGGUAUGUGUGAGCCACGGGAACUCGAGUCAGGAGAUUCAGGCCUAGACCUGAUUCUGCCCCCUCCAGGGUCGGGACCCUGGGCAAGUCCUCCCACCCAUCUUAGCCCAGCCUCCCCACCCAUAAAAUUUGGGUUGCUUGUCCCGGCUCUGAGGCUUUGAGAGCAGGGCUGUCUCCAACCGAGGGAGGGUGCUGCAAACUCCAGAAGGCCCCCGUCCCAGGGAACACCAAGGGGAACUGUCAGAGAAGCGACCCCUGGACCAGCACCCUGAGUGGGCUUUCUUCCCCUCCCCACCCUGCUGAGACCACCCAAACCUUGUUAAGAUCAAAGGUUCCCUGGGGAGCCACACGGGCCAUGCUGGACACUCCCUGCCAGACUUUCCAGAAAAAUUCAUGGGGACCCAUGUCCCACAAACACCAGCUGGAAAAGGCAGCAACGUGGGGUCUCUCUCCCCCUCAGCCAAAGUGAACUGUGUCAGCAGGUGUCUCCCAGCUGCUGAGAAUGAGCCAAGGGACCAGGAUGGCCGCCUGGCUCCUGCAAGUGGAGAGGGUCUCGCUGGGGCCUGAACUGGCUGAGGUCUUGCAGCAGCUUCUUGACGCCCCAUUCCCCAAACCCGGGCCGCCAGUGCCCGGGGACUCGGCUGCCCCCGCCCCACCCCUGGGAGAAGAGCCCAGCCGAGCCGGAGGGUGGAGAGUUCUGUCAACCAGCGCUGUUUCCUUAUCAACAAGGACAUGUCUACAAAUAGCUCGUCACGUCUCCAAUCCAGAAGUGCUGUGUCGUUUCAAAAAUGAGCGGAGCCAACGCAGCCACCAGCCUGGCCUUGGCUACCUGGGCAAGGCUGCCGGCUCGUGAAUAUUCACGGCUCCGAUGGCACCUCCGAGCCUCCUAACCAUCCGGAAUUAAAUCAACGAGCUUCCCCUC